AACGGGUGGGAAACCUGCCUUUCUGUGGGGGAUAACAUUCCUAACGGGGUGCUAAUACCGCAUGGUCCGACACAUCGCAUGGUGUGUCGGUAAAGAUGGCCUCUACAUGUAAGCUGUCGCAGAAAGAUGGUCCCGCCUCCCAUUAGCUUGUUGGUGGGGUAGUGGCCUACCAAGGCGAUAAUGGGUAGCCGGCCUGAGAGGGUGUCCGGCCACACUGGGACUGAGAUACGGCCCAG
rnacentral:rRNA from 1 species